rnacentral:misc_RNA from 1 species
GAUGAAGAACGUAGCGAAAUGCGAUAAGUAAUGCGAAUUGCAGAAUUCAGUGAAUCAUCGAAUCUUUGAACGCACAUUGCGCCCCUUGGUAUUCCAUGGGGCAUGCCUGUUCGAGCGUCAUUUGUACCUUCAAGCUCUGCUUGGUGUUGGGUGUUUUGUCUCGCCUCCGCGUGUAGACUCGCCUUAAAACAAUUGGCAGCCGGCGUAUUGAUUUCGGAGCGCAGUACAUCUCGCGCUUUGCACUCAUAACGACGACGUCCAAAAGUACAUUUUUACACUCUUGACCUCGGAUCAGGUAGGGAUACCCGCUGAACUUAAGCAUAUCAAUAAGCGGAGGA